UGUAUCCAGAACUAGACCUAGAUCUAUCAAGCAAAACCUAUCAUACCUAAGUAACUUCGAUCCGCUAGACGACUAAUUGGGUCUACGGAAGCGCGAACUGUAUUGGGUGGAUGACAGAAGAGUUAAGUUGAGAUUACAGUUUUCUAUAUCAUCUUCUUCGGCGUUCUGAGCGCAUUCUUCGUUUCCAAUGUCGUCAUUUUUAACAAGACCAUAGACGAUGUUGAGCCCAAACUCCAAGGAGACAGCAGUUUAUUACGUGGGAAUCCAGGUUUGGGAUUCCGUCCAAUGCCUGAUAUUCAAACCACCUUGAUACGUGUGUCACGUGACGAUAAGGAGCUCGAGUCUUACGUCAAAAGCAUCAACAUGAUAA
rnacentral:sRNA from 1 species